UAAAAGCACAAGGAAGAAGACGGAAGAAGAAGCUAAUGUUAGACAGAACCAGCACAUGUCAAUGUGAUCUAAAUGCAGAAGUCCAUUUACCGGAGAUAACUGUAAGAGAGAGAGGGAGAGGAAGAGGGCGGAGAGGCAGAGGUGUUGGAGGUGCUGUCAGGGCAAGGAGAGCCAAAGGACCUACCCGGAGUUAUGGCUCAAUAGAGGACGAAGAAAGAGUGGAAGCCCUCUAAAAGAACCCAAGGGCUGUUACCGAGACUUCUUCAAGAGAUGACCCUUGAAGAAUACAGAGCUCUCCACCCUUCUGCUGGAGAGGCAGCCAGGCCUGGUCUUUGAUGCCUUGAUGAUGCAUCAGAGCAGACAUGGUGCCCCACCUUCUGCCGGAGUGCCAGGAGUACCUUUGUGUACUUGUGGUAACUGUAGGAAAAUGCUGUGGCCAGGAGCAAACGAACUAUGUGAGCCUACUGCUACACGUCUCCCAGUACUGCCUUGAAGAAGGCUUUAUUCGCAUUCACAGGCAGUACCGGUAGGACAUUACAGCAUUAGGCAACAUCAGGGAGCCUGGGGAUGACAACAGGGAGUACCGCUAUGGUGCCUAUAGACACUUCAGCUAUUGGCAACAUGGAGCUUUAGGCCAGGGAAACCAACUUGUCGUCCCUAGUUGUUGUGUUGGGAGGAUUAGAGAGAAGUUCCCUGAUCCUCAAGGACACUACACGGGUUUUAUUCCUGGACUGUGAAUUUCCUUCCAGGCCCUCUGGCAUGGUCAUACAGUUUCACACAAAUACUCACAAACCUGCCUCAGCAUCAUCAAGGCAUCAAACAAAUGUACAUAGUUAACAUUUGAUUUAUUAUUACAUUUCUAUAUAUAUUUAUUCAUAUUUCUCCCCUCUUUAUUUAAAUUGAUGUAUGUUGUAUAGUAUCAAAAAUUAAAAAGAAAUAGAAGCA